AGCAGCAGAAGCAGCGGGUAGAAAAUGGCGGAUUUCGAGGAGCUGCGGAAUAUGGUAUCAAGUUUUCGUGUUUCUGAACUACAAGUGUUGUUGGGGUUUGCUGGACGUAAUAAAAGCGGGCGGAAACAUGACCUCCUGAUGAGGGCACUGCACUUACUGAAGAGCGGCUGCAGCCCAGCAGUUCAGAUAAAAAUCAGAGAACUCUAUAGGCGUCGGUACCCAAGGACGAUUGAAGGACUCUCGGAUUUAUCGGCUAUAAAACCUGCAGUUUUCAAUUUAGACAGUAGUUCCUCUCCUGUUGAGCCUGACCUGGCUGUUGCUGGCAUUCACCCGCUCCCUUCUACAUCGGUCACACCUCAGUCUCCUUCCUCGCCUGUCAGUUCUGUGCUCCUCCAAGACACUAAGCCCCACUUUGAGAUGCAGCAGCCAUCCCCUCCGAUUCCACCUGUUCAUCCCGAUGUUCAACUGAAAAGCCUACCUUUUUACGAUGUGCUUGAUGUGCUCAUAAAACCUACAAGUCUAGUACAGAGCAGUAUUCAGAGGUUCCAAGAGAAGUUUUUUAUCUUUGCCUUAACACCUCAGCAGGUCAGAGAAAUCUGUAUUUCCAGGGACUUCUUGCCAGGGGGCAGGAGAGAUUACACAGUCCAAGUUCAGCUGAGGUUAUGCCUAGCAGAGACAAGCUGCCCUCAAGAAGAUAAUUACCCUAAUAGUCUGUGUAUUAAAGUAAAUGGGAAGCUGUUUCCGUUGCCGGUAAGCUUGUGUGGAUAUGCUCCACCGCCAAAAAAUGGAAUUGAACAGAAGCGACCUGGGCGCCCCUUGAAUAUAACGUCUCUAGUUAGGUUGUCGUCAGCAGUGCCAAACCAGAUUUCCAUUUCCUGGGCUUCUGAAAUUGGAAAGAAUUACUCCAUGUCUGUGUAUCUUGUUCGUCAGCUCACUUCAGCUAUGCUUUUGCAGAGGUUAAAAAUGAAAGGUAUCAGAAACCCCGAUCACUCCAGAGCACUAAUUAAAGAAAAACUAACUGCAGAUCCUGAUAGUGAGAUUGCCACGACCAGCCUGCGGGUAUCUCUGAUGUGUCCUCUGGGAAAAAUGAGACUGACAAUCCCAUGCCGGGCUGUUACUUGCACACACCUGCAAUGUUUUGAUGCUGCUCUUUAUCUUCAAAUGAAUGAAAAGAAGCCUACCUGGAUCUGCCCUGUCUGUGACAAAAAGGCAGCUUAUGAGAGCCUAAUAUUAGAUGGGCUCUUUAUGGAAAUCCUUAAUGAAUGUUCAGAUGUGGAUGAGAUCAAAUUCCAAGAAGAUGGCUCCUGGUGCCCCAUGAGGCCAAAGAAAGAAGCUGUGAAAGUCUCAAGUCCACAGUGCACCAAAAUAGAAAGUUCCAGUGUUGUUAGCAAACAGUGUUCUGUGACAGUGGCCAAUGAGGUGAACAAGAAGAAAGUGGACGUUAUUGACUUGACAAUAGAAAGCUCUUCUGAUGAAGAGGAAGAUCCUCCUGCCAAAAGGAAGUGCAUAUUUAUGUCUGAAACACAAGGAAGCCCAACCAAAGGGGUUCUCAUGUAUCAGCCAUCUACUGUCAGAGUGCCCAGUGUGACAACGGUCGAUGCUGCUGCUAUUCCUCCUUCAUUAACAGACUACCCAGUACCAUUCCAUCAUCCACCAAUAUCCAGUAUUUCAUCAGACUUGCCAGACACAAAACGGGGAUGAUAUUAGAAAUGUUUCCUUAUUGGCUGCCCGUGGGUGGAGGAAGAGACCUGCUGCUUGUUUUUGGACUUGUGCAUGUUGUGACUUUACUUCAUUCCAGCAUCUUUAAUGUGAUGACACUCUUCAUGUCCCAGUUUGGCCAAGUCAGGUCUGGAUUUUCUUUCACUAAUCCCAGUUGAUUCACAGUACUGUCCUCCUAUGUUUUUGGAUAGUCUCACCUCAACCUUAACAAGCAGCACGCCUGGCAGCAUCAUCACAUCAACCAGUCACCACGAGAGCAGCACGCACGUUAGCUCCUCCAGCAGGAGCGAGACAGGGGUGAUAACCAGCAGCGGCGGCAGCGCUCCUGACAUCAUCUCACUGGACUGAAACAAGGGGCAGCACCGGACUCCAGGAGAAACUGCACGGAGCUGCUGCUUGUAUCUCUGGAACUUCAGCAUCUCGGAAGUUAUUCUGAUAUUUAUUGAAAGGAUUUCCCUUCUGGAAAAUGGAGUAAAUUCAUCUACACUAGGAACAGAAGUGAUAGACUUUUUUGUUUUGUUUUGUUUUUUUUCCUUGCUCAUUAAAUAGCUGGUAUAGAAAAGGCCCCUUCAGAACAUGCUUUUAUGCUUUUGGCUUGUUCUGGGGAAACUGACAUUUUGUUGCUGGGUGGAUUCCACAAAUGGUUUUUAAUUUUGUUGUAAAACACAGCAAUAAUGUAAAAACAAACAAAAACUUUUUUUAAUAAAAAAAGGCACUUAACCACUCUAGAACAACAGCCUGGGCAAAGGUGCAGAAGUGUAUGCAUUGGUGAAUUUUUAAUAUUUUCACUGGGGCCUGUAAUAAACUUCAUUUAAGACAAUGAAGCUUUGUGAAAUAGCCAUGACUUGUGUUGUAUGUCUCUUGUUUCCCACUUCCCCCUUACCUGGGGAUGUAGGGGAAGCCUCUGUAAAUGGGAUUGGUUGGGGGUUUUUUUGUUUGUGGUUUUUUUCCUCCUGAUUUUGUGUUUUUCACAAAUGCAACAAAAACCUAAGCUUUGACUUCUUCCUCUUAAUGUUCUUUGGGCUGGGGAGGGGACAAACUAUCUAUGCAAACUCUGCAUUACACAAUCUCUGUGCCGUCAUGUCAGAAUGGGGCCACCUCCCCACCUCCAAAAACUCCAGACUAUGCACAGUUGAGCUGUAGCUGAAUUUCUGGUUUGAUAACUUUAAGAGAUGAUAGAAAAAAAAGCCUUUAAACUCAGAUUAUAAGGUGGUUGUUGGCCCUCUGAAAUUACCACCCCUGACCAGUUGAUCAAGUGAAGUGUGUGCUUUCUAUGGCAGCUGUAAGGAGAAAAAUAGGAAUUACUUUCUCCAGUGCAGGAUAAUUUUCUAGGAUCUCUUGCUUGUGGCUUCUGUCACUUCAGUAACUGCCAUGUUCUUUUGGGAAUACCCCACUCUGACAUGCCAUGGGGGAAGGUUGGCUUUUUGGAAGACAAAAGCUGUAGCUGCACAGUGUUCCCACCUAACUGGAAUUACGUGUUUAGGGCUUAAUGAUGCUUUGUCCCACAUUACAUGGCCUCCUAAUCAUGGCUUUCCUAAUUCAAUGGGAAUAACUUCCUCAUGUUUUACUCCCCUGGUCAAUCUGCUGCUUUGCUGUGUGGAUGCAGUGUCUCCCCACACACCUCUAAGGAUAAUCUCCACAGUACGGUAUGUGGAAGAGGUUACAGACAAGGAAAAUCAAGUCAUUUCCAUAGAGCUGGAAUAAUGGUAUUGUCUAUGUUGACACAGCAGCUUUCCCCAGUGUUGUGUUUCUGUUGAGUAACUGUAUUUGAGAUUAUUCCUUCCCUAAUUACCAGCUUUCACUUUUUCCUGAUUUUGUGUUCCUUUUUUCUUAUUUCUUUAGUCAGAUGUCUUGUACUUUUUGCCUUCCACUACUGUUAACAGUAUUUGAACGAAGUACAAAUGGAUAAGAAAUACUGAAGCAGGAUGUAUUGUAACUCUUGCCUGCCCUGUACUCCCACUUUUAAUGCAGCA